rnacentral:rRNA from 1 species
CCUACGGGGGGCUGCAGUGGGGAAUAUUGGACAAUGGGGGCAACCCUGAUCCAGCCAUGCCGCGUGUGUGAAGAAGGCCCUCGGGUUGUAAAGCACUUUCAGUGAGGAAGAACGCCUGGUGGUUAAUACCCAUCAGGAAAGACAUCACUCACAGAAGAAGCACCGGCUAACUCCGUGCCAGCAGCCGCGGUAAUACGGAGGGUGCGAGCGUUAAUCGGAAUUACUGGGCGUAAAGCGCGCGUAGGUGGCUCGAUAAGCCGGUUGUGAAAGCCCCGGGCUCAACCUGGGAACGGCAUCCGGAACUGUCAAGCUAGAGUGCAGGAGAGGAAGGUAGAAUUCCCGGUGUAGCGGUGAAAUGCGUAGAGAUCGGGAGGAAUACCAGUGGCGAAGGCGGCCUUCUGGACUGACACUGACACUGAGGUGCGAAAGCGUGGGUAGCAAACAGGAUUAGAUACCCCGGUAGUC